rnacentral:ncRNA from 1 species
UGGCCCACCGGGGCCCUGGAUACCUGCUUUAUUAUUUUU